CGCUGACUUUCAUCACUUCUCUGAGAUCAUGAUACCUCUCAAGAUAUCCUUGGUUUGCCUGCUUUGGUUGUAUCGUAUAUCUUCUGAGGAUACUGUUUGGCAGCGUUCAAGGCCAAGCAUCACUCAUCUGCAGGCUCUGAGUGACAGGCAAAGUCUCUUGGUUAGCUGGCAGCUAAACCACAGCAGCUUACUGGGUGAUGUUUAUGAGAUCCAGAUUGGCCGUACUUUAAACCACACCAUUAUUUAUAAUAGAAAUAUUAGUGUACCGUCCAUAGAUUCACAUGAAUACACAUGGACCUCGGAGCUGCCUCUUGAGUGUGUUGAUCAUUCAGUCAGGAUACGAAGUUUCUACAAUAAGUCUGUCCCAAGUCCCUGGAGCAGCUGG